UGAGUGAGUGGCGAACUGGUGAGUAACACGUGGGAAACCUGCCCAGAAGCGGGGGAUAACACCUGGAAACAGAUGCUAAUACCGCAUAACAACUUGGACCGCAUGGUCCGAGCUUGAAAGAUGGCUUCGGCUAUCACUUUUGGAUGGUCCCGCGGCGUAUUAGCUAGAUGGUGGGGUAACGGCUCACCAUGGCAAUGAUACGUAGCCGACCUGAGAGGGUAAUCGGCCACAUUGGGACUGAGACACGGCCCAAACUCCUACGGGAGGCAGCAGUAGGGAAUCUUCCACAAUGGACGAAAGUCUGAUGGAGCAACGCCGCGUGAGUGAAGAAGGGUUUCGGCUCGUAAAACUCUGUUGUUAAAGAAGAACAUAUCUGAGAGUAACUGUUCAGGUAUUGACGGUAUUUAACCAGAAAGCCACGGCUAACUACGUGCCAGCAGCCGCGGUAAUACGUAGGUGGCAAGCGUUGUCCGGAUUUAUUGGGCGUAAAGCGAGCGCAGGCGGUUUUUUAAGUCUGAUGUGAAAGCCUUCGGCUCAACCGAAGAAGUGCAUCGGAAACUGGGAAACUUGAGUGCAGAAGAGGACAGUGGAACUCCAUGUGUAGCGGUGAAAUGCGUAGAUAUAUGGAAGAACACCAGUGGCGAAGGCGGCUGUCUGGUCUGUAACUGACGCUGAGGCUCGAAAGUAUGGGUAGCAAACAGGAUUAGAUACCCUGGUAGUCCAUACCGUAAACGAUGAAUGCUAAGUGUUGGAGGGUUUCCGCCCUUCAGUGCUGCAGCUAACGCAUUAAGCAUUCCGCCUGGGGAGUACGGCCGCAAGGCUGAAACUCAAAGGAAUUGACGGGGGCCCGCACAAGCGGUGGAGCAUGUGGUUUAAUUCGAAGCUACGCGAAGAACCUUACCAGGUCUUGACAUACUAUGCAAAUCUAAGAGAUUAGACGUUCCCUUCGGGG
rnacentral:rRNA from 1 species